CGACCGGCAGAAGGGUGCGUAACACGUAAGCAACCUGCCCGUGACAGGGGGAUAACCGAUGGAAACGUCGCCUAAUACCCCAUAACAACCGGAGAGGCAUCUUUUUGGUUUGAAAAUUCCGAUGGUCACGGAUGGGCUCGCGGGACAUUAGCCAGUUGGCGGGGUAACGGCCCACCAAAGCGACGAUGUCUAGGGGUUCUGAGAGGAAGGUCCCCCACACUGGAACUGAGACACGGUCCAGACUCCUACGGGAGGCAGCAGUGAGGAAUAUUGGACAAUGGAGGCAACUCUGAUCCAGCCAUGCCGCGUGAAGGACGAAGGCCCUACGGGUCGUAAACUUCUUUUGUCGUGGAGCAAUAAGGUGUACGCGUACACCGAUGAGAGUACACGACGAAUAAGCAUCGGCUAACUCCGUGCCAGCAGCCGCGGUAAUACGGAGGAUGCGAGCGUUAUCCGGAUUUAUUGGGUUUAAAGGGUGCGUAGGCGGACGCGUAAGUCAGCGGUGAAAGGUACCGGCUCAACCGGUGAGCUGCCGUUGAUACUGCGCGACUGGAAUGCGGAUGCCGUGGGAGGAAUGUGUGGUGUAGCGGUGAAAUGCAUAGAUAUCACACAGAACACCGAUUGCGAAGGCAUCUCACGAAUCCGUUAUUGACGCUGAGGCACGAAGGCGUGGGGAUCAAACAGGAUUAGAUACCCUGGUAGUCCACGCAGUAAACGAUGAUGGCUAACUGCCGGCGAUACAAUGUCGGUGGCCAAGCGAAAGCGAUAAGCCAUCCACCUGGGGAGUACGACCGCAAGGUUGAAACUCAAAGGAAUUGACGGGGGCCCGCACAAGCGGAGGAACAUGUGGUUUAAUUCGAUGAUACGCGAGGAACCUUACCCGGGCUCGAACGGCUGAGGAAUGAUUGGAGACAGGUCAUCCGCAAAGUGCAC
rnacentral:rRNA from 1 species